rnacentral:rRNA from 1 species
CCUACGGGAGGCAGCAGUGAGGAAUAUUGGUCAAUGGACGAGAGUCUGAACCAGCCAAGUAGCGUGAAGGAUGACUGCCCUAUGGGUUGUAAACUUCUUUUAUAUGGGAAUAAAAUGUUCCACGUGUGGGAUUUUGUAUGUACCAUAUGAAUAAGGAUCGGCUAACUCCGUGCCAGCAGCCGCGGUAAUACGGAGGAUCCGAGCGUUAUCCGGAUUUAUUGGGUUUAAAGGGAGCGUAGGUGGAUUGUUAAGUCUGUUGUGAAAGUUUGCGGCUCAACCGUAAAAUUGCAGUUGAAACUGGCAGUCUUGAGUACAGUAGAGGUGGGCGGAAUUCGUGGUGUAGCGGUGAAAUGCUUAGAUAUCACGAAGAACUCCGAUUGCGAAGGCAGUUCACUGGACUGCAACUGACACUGAGGCUCGAAAGUGUGGGUAUCAAACAGGAUUAGAUACCCGAGUAGUC